AGCAGCCACUCAUUAAAAGAGUGCGUAAUAGCUCACUGGUCGAGUGACUCUGCGCCGAAAAUUUAACGGGGCUAAAUCGUACACCGAAGCUUGGGAUGUAUCUAUGAUACAUGGUAGGAGAGCGUUGAAUGCGGGGUGAAGUCAGAGCGAAAGCGCUGGUGGACUGCAUUGAAGUGAGAAUGCCGGAAUGAGUAGCGAGAUUUAUGUGAGAAUCAUAAAGGCCGAAAGACUAAGGUUUCAGAAGGAAGGUUCGUCCGCUUCUGGUUAGCCGGGAGCUAAGGUGAGGCCGAAAGGCGUAGCCGAUGCACAUACGGUGGAGAUUCCGUAGCCGUCGAAAUAUUUAAGCAAAGGGACACUUAUGAAGGACAUGACCCGGGCGAUGGUAGCCCCGGGCGUAAGGGACUGAAAACAAGUAAGGAAGCAUGUUUGGAUUAAGGCGAGAAAAGCUUUGUGUAUAUAUGAGACGUCCGUACCGCAAACCGACACAGGUAGUCAGGAAGAGGAUUCUAAGGCCAACGGGAGAAGGGUAGUUAAGGAACUCGGCAAAUUGACCCCGUAACUUCGGGAUAAGGGGCGGUGCGUAAGCACCCGCAGUGAAUAGGUCCAGGCGACUGUUUAUCAAAAACACAGCUCUCUGCUAAAUCGAAAGAUGACGUAUAGGGGGUGACACCUGCCCGGUGCUGGAAGGUUAAGAGGAGGAGUGCAAGCUCCGAAUUGAAGCCCCAGUAAACGGCGGCCGUAACUAUAACGGUCCUAAGGUAGCGAAAUUCCUUGUCGGGUAAGUUCCGACCCGCACGAAUGGCGUAACGACUUGUGAGCUGUCUCAACAGGAGGCCCGGUGAAAUUGAAGUAUGUGUGAAGAUGCACAUUACCCGCGACUGGACGGAAAGACCCCGUAGAGCUUUACUGUAACCUGACAUUGGAUCUUGAUAACGGAUGCACAGGAUAGGUGGGACGCUGGGAGACGAGGACUUUGGUUUUCGUGGAGCGGCCGUUGGGAUACCACUCUUCUGUUAUUGAGAUUCUAACCUCAAGCCGUAAGCCGGAUGAGAGACAGUGUCAGGCGGACAGUUUGACUGGGGCGGUCGCCUCCGAAAGAGUAACGGAGGCGCCCAAAGGUACCCUCAGAAUGGAUGGAAACCAUUCGAAGAGAGCAAAGUCAGAAGGGUGCUUGACUGCGAGACCAACAAGUCGAGCAGGUACGAAAGUAGGGCUUAGUGAUCCGGCGGUAAGAGAGUGGAAUUGCCGUCGCUCAACGGAUAAAAGCUACCUCGGGGAUAACAGGCUGAUCUCCCCCAAGAGU
rnacentral:rRNA from 1 species